rnacentral:rRNA from 1 species
UACGAAGGGGGCUAGCGUUGCUCGGAAUCACUGGGCGUAAAGCGCACGUAGGCGGACUCUUAAGUCAGGGGUGAAAUCCUGGAGCUCAACUCCAGAACUGCCUUUGAUACUGGCGAUCUUGAGUCCGGGAGAGGUGAGUGGAACUGCGAGUGUAGAGGUGAAAUUCGUAGAUAUUCGGAAGAACACCAGUGGCGAAGGCGGCUCACUGGACUGGUAUUGACGCUGAGGUGCGAAAGCGUGGGGAGCAAACAGG